rnacentral:rRNA from 1 species
UGCAUAUCAAUAAGCGCGGAGGAAAAGAAACUAACAAGGAUUCCCCUAGUAACGGCGAGUGAAGCGGGAAGAGCUCAAAUUUGAAAUCUGGCAGUCUUCGAUUGUCCGAGUUGUAAUCUAUAGAGGCGUUUUCCGUGCCGGACCGUGUCCAAGUCUCCUGGAAAGGAGUAUCAAAGAGGGUGAUAAUCUCGUACUUAACACGACCACCGGUGCUCUGUGAUACGUCUUCUACGAGUCGAGUUGUUUGGGAAUA